AUGGGGUCACUAUGGGGCUCUAUGGGGUCACUAUGGGGCUCUAUGGGGUCCCUGUGGGGCUUUAUGGGGUCCCUAUGGAGCUCUAUUGGGUCCCUAUGGGGUUAUAGCGUCUCUAUGGAGCUCUAUGGGGUCACUAUGGGGCUUAAUGGGGACACUGUGGGGCUCUAUGGGGUCACUAUGGAGCUUUGUGGGGUCACUGUGGAGCUCUAUGGGGUCCCUAUGGAGCUCUAUGGGGUCACUAUGGGGCUCUAUGGGGUCACUAUGGAGUUACUUGGGGUACCUAUGGAGCUCUAUGGGGUCACUAUGGGGCUCUAUGGGGUCACUGUGGGGCUCGAUGGGGUCACCGUGGAGCUCUAUGGGGUUACUAUGGAGGUAUAUGGGGUCCCUUUUGAGCUCUAUGGGGUCGCUAUGGGGCUGUUAUGGGGUCCCUAUGGGGCUCUACGGGGUCACUAUGGGGCUCUAUGGGGUCCCUAUGGGGCUCUACGGGGUCACUAUGCGGCUGUGAUUGGGUCAUUAUGGAGCUCUAUGGGGUCACUAUGGGGCUCUAUGGGGUCCCUAUGGGGCUCUAUGGGGACACUGUGGGGUUCUAUGGGGUCACCGUGGAGCUCUAUGGGGUCACUCUCGGGCUCUAUGGGGUCAUUACAGAACUCUCUGGGGUCCCUAUGGGGCUCUAUGGGGUCCCUAUGGGCACCAAUGAGGUCUCUAUGGGGCUGUUAUAGGGUCUCUAUGGAACCCUAUGGGGUCGCUAUGGGGCAGUUAUGGGGUCAUUAUGGAGCUCUUUGGGGUCCCUAUGGGGCUCUAUGGGGUCACUGUGGGGCUUUAUGGGGUCAUUGUGGAGCUCAAUGGGGUCGCUAUAGGGCUGUUAUGGGGUCCCUAGGGUGCUCUAUGGGGUCCCUAUGGGGCUCUAUGGGGUCACAAUGGGGCUCUAUGGGGUCCCUAUGGGCCCUAAUGGGGUCAUUAUGGGGCAGUUAUGGGGUCACUGUGGAGCUCUAUGGGGUCAUUACGGAGCUCUCUGGGGUCCCUAUGGGGCUCUAUGGGGUCACUGUGGGGAAGUUAUGGGGUCACUAUGGGACUCUAUGGGGACACUGUGGGGCUCUAUGGGGUCACUAAGGAGCUCUAUGGGGUCCCUAUGGGGCUGUUAUAGCGUCUCUAUGGAGCUCUAUGGGGUCACUAUGGGGCUCUAUGGGGUCACUAUGGGGCUCUAUGGGGUCCCUGUGGGGCUUUAUGGGGUCCCUAUGGAGCUCUAUUGGGUCCCUAUGGGGUUAUAGCGUCUCUAUGGAGCUCUAUGGGGUCACUAUGGGGCUUAAUGGGGACACUGUGGGGCUCUAUGGGGUCACUAUGGAGCUUUGUGGGGUCACUGUGGAGCUCUAUGGGGUCCCUAUGGAGCUCUAUGGGGUCACUAUGGGGCUCUAUGGGGUCACUAUGGAGUUACUUGGGGUACCUAUGGAGCUCUAUGGGGUCACUAUGGGGCUCUAUGGGGUCACUGUGGGGCUCGAUGGGAUCACUAUAGGGCUCUAUGGGGUCACUGUAGGGCUGUUAUUGGGUCCCUAUGGGGCUCUACGGGGUCCCUAUGGGCCCCAAUGAGGUCACUAUGGGGCUGUUAUGGGGUCACUGUGGAGCUCUCUGGGGUCCCUGUGGGGCUCUAAGGGGUCACUGUGGGGCUCUAUGGUGCCACUAUGGGGCUCGAUGGGGUCCCUAUGGGCCCCAAUGAGGUCAUUAUGGGACUGUUAUGGGGUCUCUAUGGAACUCUAUGGGGUCACCAUGGGGCUCUAUUUGUUCACUAUGGGGCUCUAUGGGGUCACUGUGUGGCUCUAUUGGGUCACUAUGGGCCCCAAUGAGGUCACAAUGGGGCUCUAUGGGGUCCCUAUGGGCCCUAAUGGGGUCAUUAUGGGGCAGUUAUGGGGUCACUGUGGGGCUCUAUGGGGUCACUAUGGGGCUGUAAUGGGGUCUCUAUGGAACUCUAUGGGGUCACUAUGGGGCAGUUCUGGUGUCACUAUGGGGCUCUAUGGGGUCACUGUGUGGCUCUAUUGGGUCACUGUGGGGCUCUAUGGGGUCACUAUGGGGCUCUAUGGGGUCCCUAUGGGCCCUAAUGGGGUCAUUAUGGGCCUCUAUGGGGUCACUAUGUGGCUCUAUGGAGUCCCCUAUGGGGCUCUAUGGGGUCAUUGUGGGGCUCUAUGGGGUCACUCUGGGCUCUAUGGGGUCACUAUGGGGCUGUUAUGGGGUCACCGUGGAGCUCUAUGGGGUUACUAUGGAGGUAUAUGGGGUCCCUUUUGAGCUCUAUGGGGUCGCUAUGGGGCUGUUAUGGGGUCCCUAUGGGGCUCUACGGGGUCACUAUGGGGCUCUAUGGGGUCCCUAUGGGGCUCUACGGGGUCACUAUGCGGCUGUGAUUGGGUCAUUAUGGAGCUCUAUGGGGUCACUAUGGGGCUCUAUGGGGUCCCUAUGGGGCUCUAUGGGGACACUGUGGGGUUCUAUGGGGUCACCGUGGAGCUCUAUGGGGUCACUCUCGGGCUCUAUGGGGUCAUUACAGAACUCUCUGGGGUCCCUAUGGGGCUCUAUGGGGUCCCUAUGGGCACCAAUGAGGUCUCUAUGGGGCUGUUAUAGGGUCUCUAUGGAACCCUAUGGGGUCGCUAUGGGGCAGUUAUGGGGUCAUUAUGGAGCUCUUUGGGGUCCCUAUGGGGCUCUAUGGGGUCACUGUGGGGCUUUAUGGGUCAUUGUGGAGCUCAAUGGGUCGCUAUAGGGCUGUUAUGGGGUCCCUAGGGUGCUCUAUGGG
rnacentral:lncRNA from 7 species